UGUGGCUAGGAGUCGGAAAUCGCUUUGGCUCUAAACUCAGCUCUUCUGCCAGACUUUUCCGUCUCCGAAAGGAUGUAACUUCUCCGUUGUUCUGGCUACAGUGUAUGGCUGGAAUCGUACCUCUCUGAAGAAGUGUAUUGUGACCUGUCCAUCCAGGUAAAACGCUGCCAUGAACCUCAUUCAUCACUUCAUGAGUGUUCAUGAAAAAGUAGGCAUCAUCCAGUCUUCGUGCAGAUUCCUGUGUAUACACGUAUUUCUUGUGUCCCAGUUCAACUUCUGAUCCAAAAGGUUUUGGACCGGUCCUCUUUCUUCUAAUCCUUCGCACCAGAAGCCAAGCUGGCUGCAGGGGCUCUGAUGGAGUUUAGAGGCACCUUAUUCCCCACUGAUGCGACAGAUUGGAUUCUAUGGUGUGAGCCACAUCAUUGCUUUUUGACCAUGGACUCUUUCUCUCCUCUCCUCUGUGUCCUGGCUGAUCCGUCCUCUUCAGUAAACUGAAUACACAUCCUUGACCAGGCUUGCCUAAAUGAAGCCCAUCGCCCUUCAUGCGCCACAAAAGUGCUACUGUGUGUCACCCAGGGCUUUCUUCCCAGGAGUCAGCGGGAUUUCUAUAUCCGUCGUCAUGGCAACGCAGCGACAAGGGAGAAAAAAUUGAAAGCUAACCUCUGGCUUCUGCCGGCUCCCAGGCCACAUUGAGAGGACUGCUGAGUUCAUUAGAGAACACCAAAAAAAUACCCCCUUUUGUUUAACUUUGUCGUUUGUCUAUGAAAGCCCUCUCUGAAAAGACCUGACCACAACUUCGCAAUGUCAUCUGUCAAGUACAGUAAUACUUGUUGGGAUAACAGAACAUACAAGAAACAACACUCCCCUACUCAUAAUUAAAAAUGAUGCAAAAUGAUGUUGUGUCCUUGGGCCAGGCACUUCACUCUACUUGCCUCGGAGGAGUCCCUGUUCUUACUGUAAAUUGCUCUGGAUAAGAGCAUCUAAUAAAUGUAAAUUGAAAAUUGGAAGCUUCUACUUUAGUCAGUUUAUUCAAAAUUCUGGUUACAGAGUGUCUAGCUCAUUGCUACAAUAUAAACGAGAAAAGCACGUCUCUGGACCUGUAAAGCACAAAUAGAUUUUGGAAUUUUUGAUUAGAUUAUAUUGCUGAAAGCUAAAUUUGUUGAAGGCAUACAACAAACACAAUACCAUCUUCUAAAUUUCAAUAACAAGAAUAUUCCUCUGCACACAUCUGCCAUGCACACCUGAUCCCUCUUGAGCAGUGCAUGAAGAGAAAAUGGAGAGGUGUUCUCUGAUGAUCCUUCAAUGGUAAAGGCCUAGCUACAUUAACUUCCCAGAUGUCAUGGAAGGAAGUAGGCCGCCCCGAGGAACGGAGUGGAAUAGUAUUAAAGACUUUGGCGUUAUUAAAAUCAAAUCUGGACGGGCUCACAUGCCCCCCUCCCUUUAAAUGACGAUGGCAGUCAGAGACAUUCGAGGCUAUCGGAGGGAAAGGGAACACCAUUUUCUAUUCAUUUGGCACCAUGCCCAGAUCUCAUUAAAAAAAAAAGAAGAAAAAAAAACUCUUCCUGUGGCAAACUUUGUCCCAGCCAAUUAAAAGAUGACGCUGGCCCUCCUUCCUCGUUCUUUAAAAUGUGAAUAGCUCACAACUGCUUGAUUACCAAGCAAGAAUGGGUUUGUUUUUCACAUCAGAGCGUACUGGUUUGCUCAUUCAAAUACUGUGUGAUUUCUCCACUCCAACAAUAUCAAACAAUAAGAAUACAUAACAGCCUAGCAUAUGGAACCAUAUUCACUUUCUGGUCUGUUUACCAAUCAUGUGCUUCAAUGCAAUACCAAACAUUAAAUUAAAUUGUUCAGUGGUAGAAUUAAUAUUUGUUGAGAUAAAUGGCAUGUUCUGUAUUGUUUCCUUUGCUCCCAGAGAGAAUGUGUAAAAUGUAAUAAAGGGAUUCCCGAAGGGUCGACUUUGAUCCGAGAUUCUCAACACAAGCUGAUGACCCUAUGGGAAAAGAAGAUCUAUACACUUCAACAUGCACUCCAACCCAGUCUUUACAUCUCAAUUGUUCUGUUUUGCCAAGAGAGUAUGGCAUUGGAAACAGCUGCACUAUUUUCUAUUUCACCCCAAGGCAACAUUCUCUUCUUAAAGGAGUGUUGAGCUGUGCCUUAUGUGGAAAUAUCUUCCUGCAUUCUUUUCAUACAAAAAUCUCCCUCUGAAAUACACAAUGCCAAGGCACAGAAACAGACAGCUGAGUUUGUUAUUUCGGUAACACUUUAGAAUAAUGGUCCGUUGU